GUCGAACGGAUUAUUCUUUAUAGCUUGCUAUAGAGAUAAUUAGUGGCAGACGGGUGAGUAAUGCAUAGGAAUCUACCUAGUAGUAUAGGAUAGCCACUAGAAAUGGUGGGUAAUACUGUAUAAUCCCUGCGGGGGAAAGAUUUAUCGCUACAUGAUGAGCCUAUGUUAGAUAAGCUAGUUGGUAGGGUAAAGGCCUACCAAGGCGAUGAUCUAUAGCUGGUCUGAGAGGAUGAUCAGCCACACUGGAACUGAGAUACGGUCCAGACUCCUACGGGAGGCAGCAGUGGGGAAUAUUGGACAAUGGGCGCAAGCCUGAUCCAGCUAUGCCGCGUGAGUGAGGAAGGCCUUAGGGUUGUAAAACUCUUUCAGUAGGGAAGAUAAUGACGGUACCUAUA
rnacentral:rRNA from 1 species